CCAGACUCCUACGGGAGGCAGCAGUGAGGAAUAUUGGUCAAUGGGCGGAAGCCUGAACCAGCCAAGUCGCGUGAGGGAAUAAGGCCCUACGGGUCGUAAACCUCUUUUGCCGGGGAGCAAGGGCGGGGACGUGUCCCGGCCCGGAGAGUACCCGGAGAAAAAGCAUCGGCUAACUCCGUGCCAGCAGCCGCGGUAAUACGGAGGAUGCGAGCGUUAUCCGGAUUUAUUGGGUUUAAAGGGUGCGUAGGCGGAGUGUCAAGUCAGCGGUAAAAUUUCGGGGCUCAACCCCGUCGUGCCGUUGAAACUGACGCCCUUGAGUGCGCGAGAAGUAUGCGGAAUGCGUGGUGUAGCGGUGAAAUGCAUAGAUAUCACGCAGAACUCCGAUUGCGAAGGCAGCAUACCGGCGCGCAACUGCCGCUCAUGCACGAAAGCGUGGGUAUCGAACAGGAUUAGAUACCCUCGUAU
rnacentral:rRNA from 1 species